AAGAGCAUAUGGGACUUGCAGAGAAAAAAUAUGGCUCCUCAACCCCUUUCAACCACAUAGUAUGGAAGGUUCCACAUGACCACUUAAAGGGGGCUUGGCAGAGGUUAGGGGAAGGAUGAGGAUUUUUUCAUGUGGAUUUCUUAUAGUACAUAUAAUGCAGGAACCACUCAUUUAGGUGAUUGAAAUAUACAUAAUAUAAAAAUUAUUAUUGGUUUUUUAUCAUAUAAAAUACAAGAAAUCCCAAUAUACUCUGUUAGUGUUUUUUGUUGAUUUCUUCUGCCGAUGUAAAUUGCUCUUGGGCGAACCCAGAGAGUUUUCUUGAGAUAAGAAUUCAAACAAAGUGUUCUUAGGCUGCGGGUCCCACAGCUGUCAUAGAUGGAAGCGAUGUUAUUAUAGUGGACACUGUGCCCUUUAUCAGGAGUAAUCCACUUUAUGGCAGCCGCGUCUCUAACUGAGGCCAAGGGAUGAAGACGCGGGGAGCUGUAAACAGAUGAUAUCCAAGCUUUUCAGGCAAGCUAAAGAUCCUCUGGCAAAGUCAAAAAGCUAUUCUUAUGUGUAUCUCUCUCAAGGUCUUGGGGAUUAGCCUUCGAUGUGUUUCUACAAAAGGAAAAUGUUAAGAAACAAAAUAAAGUGGAGAAGGGUUGGGAUUAAAGGGGAUUUCAUUCCAUUUUAAGCCCUAGAAAAACAUCACAUGUGCAAGUGAAUUUGAGAAAGUCCAGUGGACUCUUGGAUAAGAGGAAAUCUGCAUAGGUGGAGUUGGCUGGAAACGUGGAAGCGUUAAGGCUGCUGAUAGAUGGUGCCCAAUUGAAUGGGAUGGGCCACACAUCCACUUGGUUCUCUGCAAACCAGCUGCUGUCAGCUGACAGAUGCCUUCCUCACACAGGCUCUUGCUCAAGUGAUAAGAAGUGAAAAGAGCUCGAGAUGCAGAAAAUAAAAUAACUAUACAUUAAAAAAAAAAAAAAAAAAAAAGGGCAACCUUUCACAAAGCAACUGUUAACUUAUACUCUGGAGUUUUAAAAGAACAACAGAAGGUGAGUGGGGGU
rnacentral:lncRNA from 12 species